UACGAAGGGGGCUAGCGUUGCUCGGAAUCACUGGGCGUAAAGCGCACGUAGGCGGAUUGUUAAGUCAGGGGUGAAAUCCUGGAGCUCAACUCCAGAACUGCCUUUGAUACUGGCGAUCUUGAGUCCGGGAGAGGUGAGUGGAACUGCGAGUGUAGAGGUGAAAUUCGUAGAUAUUCGCAAGAACACCAGUGGCGAAGGCGGCUCACUGGCCCGGUACUGACUCUGAGGUGCGAAAGCGUGGGGAGCAAACAGG
rnacentral:rRNA from 1 species